rnacentral:lncRNA from 1 species
GAGCUGUUGAAAUCAAGAGUCUAGACACACAUAAGAUUUUCAAAGUGAACGAACACUGAUUCAUACUAUUUUAUAAAGGAUUUACUAAGCAACAAGUCGAAGAAGUGAUCCUCAAGAAUCUUGCAGAUAAUAACUGACAACUCACAGGCUACAUCUAGCCUAAGAUGAUAAACAAGGGCAUUUAAUGGGAGGCAACCUAUUUGGUUUCUUCAUUCCUUCU